rnacentral:rRNA from 1 species
UACGGGGGGGGCAAGCGUUGUUCGGAAUUACUGGGCGUAAAGGGUUUGUAGGCGGCCCGCUAAGUCGAACGUGAAAUCCCCGAGCUCAACUCGGGAACUGCGUCCGAUACUGGCGGGCUUGAAUCCGGGAGAGGGAUGCGGAAUUCCAGGUGUAGCGGUGAAAUGCGUAGAUAUCUGGAGGAACACCGGUGGCGAAGGCGGCAUCCUGGACCGGCAUUGACGCUGAGGCGCGAAAGCUAGGGGAGCAAACGGG